UUGAGGCUCAUUUGAUACCUUGGACCAUUGAUGAGUUAAAGCCAUUUAGCCAACAAAUGUGUUCCAUACUGUAUCAGCAUAAUUUACAGCUGAAUCUAGUCCCACCCUCAAUUAAUUAUGUCUACCAAAUAAUAACACCUCUAUCCAUAUAAACACUUACAAAACUCAAUGUCACAAGCAAUAAAUAACACAAGACAUCUUUUAUCCAUGAAACAAGAAACAGCAUACAAAACAGCACUGUGUACCAAGCCAUUUAGAGUGGAUUACACUAUCGAAAUAGGACACAAAUGACCUAAAAUAAUAGUUAACUCCAGGAGAAUAAAGGAAGCUUCCAGUGACAUAAAGUAGAAGUUUAAGUUAAAACAGCAGUCAGCUCAGUUUUCCAUCUUGAUUUGCUGUAUAUUUUUUUCCUAUAUUAGUCUCUCAUAUGAAAACUCCUUUUUUAAUGCUCAGAUAGGGUCAGAGGGUCAAGCACAGGUUGGUAGAGCGCAAGCUUCAGUAUUGCCUCAAGUCUUUGUACCUGCCAGGAGGCACAACAGCUGGACUGCUUCUGCUGAGACCCACCACAGGUGAACUCUGGUUGCAGGUGUGCUGUGGAGCCUAUGCUGGCAGGUUCUCUGGCUCCGUGCAUUCGCUGUCGAUUCUUGGCCUCCCCCAGUCGCUUCGGAUCUGGGGUCUGAUUUGGAGUUUUUCCUCAGAUGGCGCCUGUUGCGCGGAACAGCUGACCAAAUGGCGUGAGUGCGUUGUAUGAGCGGAGCUCA